UACAGAGGGUGCGAGCGUUGUCCGGAAUCACUGGGCGUAAAGGGCGCGUAGGCGGCCUGGUAAGUCGGGGGUGAAACGCUGCGGCUCAACCGCAGCACUGCCUUCGAGACUGUCAGGCUUGAGCACGGUAGAGGCAGGUGGAAUUCCCGGUGUAGAGGUGAAAAUCGUAGAUAUUGGGAAGAACACCGGUGGCGAAGGCGGCUACCUGGUCCGGUUCUGACG
rnacentral:rRNA from 1 species